rnacentral:lncRNA from 1 species
CCGAGUUCGGGGACAGCCGUCAGAGAUGUGCGAGAAAGGAACUCUGGACAGAUGGUGCAUUGCACACAGCAGGUGCUUAAGGAUGAUGCAUUAUGCACAGUUAAGUGCUUAAAAGAUACAGAAAGAAUGCCUAAGGUUCAAGGUCAGCUCUGCACUGGAGGCUAAUUUAAAAAGUCAGCUUUGCAGAGGCCAGGCAAGGAUUAUUCACUACCAGGUCAGAAAAAGACUGGCCAGAGCCCAGAACCAGAACUGUUCCACUUGAUCACAGAGGUUUGCUUCUGGAGAUGGAGCCAAGAUGAAGUAAAAGGCAGGAGGUCCACCACCUCUCCCUCAAAGGGAUCCAAUCCCAUUAAAGGAAUCUUUAAUGACUCAAAAAAAAAUGAGAGCAUCAGAACGCCCCAGAACAGUUUCUGACUGGAGACAACUUAGAAGAUCAGCAGAAGAGGUCUGUGGAGACAGGAUGGGAGCCCAGCGUGCAGGACUCACUAAUAUAGUCUGGGCUCCAGCUUAAGUUCAGCAACAGCCUGAGCAAAGCAGGACUUCUGAAUCAGCACGGUACUGGUGUUUUCCAGCCCUCUCAGCCAUUUAUUUCAAGGACUUUCCCCUCUUUAUACCCUCAUACUCUUAUAUACCGUGCAUGUGGGACCACAUAAACAACUUGCUAUUGUAUGUAGUUUGCCACCUGGUAUCACUCUGCUUCAAUCACAACACAGGUUGUCAGCCCCCAACACACACACACACACUUCUCAGGACGGCUGAGAGCCCUUAGGGGAGAUGAGGAGCCAAACCAGACAUUGUCAGCAGGUUCCCUCUGGGCUGGAGGGUUUUAUGCUUUACCCAGAGUUCCCCCACUGACUGUGACCCUCUACAAUAAUCUAUGUUCAAAAGGCUAUAAAUUCAUGCAUAUCCUUUGACCUAACAAUACCAUUAUUAGGCAUGAAUAUCACGAGAUUUAACAAAAGGAACUUUUUCUUUUAUUAAAAGGAAAAGUACCAAGAUAUACACAAAAGUAGAAAGUCUUCAGAGUGAAGAAUUAGAGAUUGAUGCCCAUCAAUUGGGGAAUAGUUGAGUGAACUGUGGUGUGCGAUUGCCAUGAAAUAUUGUUCUGUGGGAAGUGAUGAGCAGGAUGCUCUCCAAAAAAAUCACCUAUAAAGUCCUCCAUAAACUCAAGCAAAGUAAAAUAUACUGUAUACAAAGUAAUAGCAAUGUCCUGGGAUGAGCAACUGUGAAUGGCUUUGCUAUUCUCAGCAAUACAAUGACCCAUGACUACUCUGAAGGACUUAUGAUGAAAAAUCCCAGCCAUACCCAGAGAAGAAAUUGUGUCUAAAUAUAUAUUGAAUCAUAUUCUCUUUUUUUAAAAAGCUAUUUUUCUUGGAAAGUUUUUUAAAAAUUAAAAAAAAACAGGGUGGGAGAUCUAAGUUUUCUUUGACAACAUGACUUUUAUGGAAAUGUUUUGUGUAAUUUUAUAUGUAGUUUCUUAAGGGGGUUUGGGAGAUAAGUAAGAGAAUCUGGAACUCAAAAGUUUAAAAAAAUUUUUUUAAUUGUUUUGAAUGUAACUGGGAAAAAUAUUAAAUAAGAGUUAUAGCUAAAUACAAUUAAGGAAAAAUUAAGGCAGG